GGGGUCGAUUAUGGUUUCGACUGGUCUAGUUUGAUUUAAACUGCAGUGGAGUGAUGACCUUAUCAUCAAACUAAAAUAAACGCUAACAACGAAUUAGCUUUUGCUUAAUUAAUUAGCCGACGUAGGCUUUAAGCGCUUCUGACUGUAAAGCGUGUAGCAGUCAGUCGUAAACACACACUAGGAAAAACAAGUUGCCUUCAUUUCUUGUCAUCCGAAAACCGAAAAGAGGAAUUCAGUACCUGGUAGUUUAAGCCGUUAGUGCUGUCUUAUUAAAAAGUUAAACUAAACUGUAGACGUUUAAAUGUGGGAUUAUUCUAGGACGAGGGUUCGAAUCCCUCCGGCUCCACCA
rnacentral:tmRNA from 1 species